rnacentral:rRNA from 1 species
CCCUUAGAUGUUCUGGGCCGCACACGCGCUACACUGACGGAGGCAGCGAGCAUGUCCUUCGCCGAGAGGUGUGGGGAAUCUUGUGAGUCUCCGUCGUGCUGGGGAUAGAUGGUUGCAAUUGUCGAUCUUGAACGAGGAAUUCCUAGUAAGCGCGAGUCAUCAGCUCGCGCUGAUUACGUCCCUGCCCUUUGUACACACCGCCCGUCGCUACUACCGAUUGAAUCGUUUAGCGAGAAUUUUGGAUCGGAGCCCUGGUGGGCAGCGAUGUCCGCCUGGGAUUUACCGAGAAAUCAUUCCAGCUUGCCGAUUUAGAGGAAGUAAAAGUCGUAACA